rnacentral:rRNA from 1 species
UACGUAGGGGGCUAGCGUUGUCCGGAAUCAUUGGGCGUAAAGCGCGCGUAGGCGGCCAGAUAAGUCCGGUGUGAAAGUCACAGGCUCAACCUGGGGACGCCACUCGAUACUGCUGUGACUAGAGUCCGGUAGGGGAGCGUGGAAUUCCUGGUGUAGCGGUGAAAUGCGCAGAUAUCAGGAGGAACACCAGCGGCGAAGGCGGCGCUCUGGGCCGGUACUGACACUGAGGAGCGAAAGCGUGGGGAGCAAACAGG